AUUCAGUUGACGAGUCCCAAAUGGGAUGAGACGCGCGUCCUUGAU
rnacentral:hammerhead_ribozyme from 1 species